AGUGAACGCUGGCGGUAGGCCUAACACAUGCAAGUCGAACGGCAGCACAGUAAGAGCUUGCUCUUACGGGUGGCGAGUGGCGGACGGGUGAGGAAUACAUCGGAAUCUACUUUUUCGUGGGGGAUAACGUAGGGAAACUUACGCUAAUACCGCAUACGACCUACGGGUGAAAGCAGGGGAUCUUCGGACCUUGCGCGAUUGAAUGAGCCGAUGUCGGAUUAGCUAGUUGGCGGGGUAAAGGCCCACCAAGGCGACGAUCCGUAGCUGGUCUGAGAGGAUGAUAAGCCACACUGGAACUGAGAAACGGUCCAGACUACUAAGGGAGGCAGAAGUGGGGAAUAUUGGACAAUGGGCGCAAGACUGAUCCAGCCAUAAAGGGUGGGUGAAGAAGGCCUUCGGGUUGUAAAGCCCUUUUGUUGGGAAAGAAAAGCAGCAGGUUAAUAACCCGCUGUUCUGACGGUACCAAAAGAAUAAGCACCGGCUAACUUCGUG
rnacentral:rRNA from 1 species